UCUUCUCUUGGUUUGCCUAUAAAUAUUGGAGCAAGCAAGUGCUAUAGAUCAUCGUUCUCCAUACUUGGCAUGGUGAAGAUGGCUUUCUUUAAGACCUCUCAAGUCAUGUUGAUGGCCAUCUUUGUAGGCAUCAUCCUUCUCAUGUCCUCUGAGGUCGCUACAGCUGCAACACUACUUAAAUUUGGACGAAGGGUUCUGGGUGUACCAAUUGGCAUGGACUGUGGUACAGACAACUAUGGAGUCCCGAGCUAUUGCACAGGAAUGGGAGGAUUUGCUGAGCCUCCGCCGCCAUAGGGCCCAUAACCAUAGUUAUGUAGAAAUUCAAAUAAAAUUAUGUAAGGGGAUUAUCAGAAAAAUAAUAGAUCUGAAUGAUGAUGUCAGCAUUUGGAUGUAUAAGAUUGAUGAGUGUCUUAAAAGAGAUGUAUUU